rnacentral:lncRNA from 1 species
GACCUCACAGUCUUAAUGAUUGAGUAUAGGGUGGUGUCAGGAGGACAGAAGAGGAAGAGAAACAGGAGGCAUCUGGAAAAACAACGAAUAGGACUUCAGAGUGGCAGAACAUCUCAGCAGACCUGGUCUCGCCUUUAAAGCAGCCAACAGCUUCCGCUCCAAAUCCAGCUUCUGUAGAAACCUGCAGUGUAUUCUACCUCUCAUCUGUCAAAAAUAGGAAAGGAUCUCAUGCUAUGGUUGCAUUUGAUUGUAAGAACUUCCAGGAAACCUGAUUUUCCCCUACUUCGUCUCCAAAAGAAAUGGAACUCAAAGGCCUUCUACAAGUUUCUUCAACUAAAGGUCUCUUCACCGCUGAUGGGCAGUGCCAUCGCCAGGCAGGUUGACUCCCAGGCACCAUGCGCGCUUCAGCAGAACCUGAAGAUGGGAAGCCCAAAUUGUUGAUGGUGAAUGGGAGCUAUUCAGAACCACUGCCUUGCAGCCCCUAUCAUCAACGCGCCCAAGCAUUUCUCCAGGUGGUUUUCUGUGUGUCCAGAUAAAGCUAUUGUGGCCAAAACAUCAGCUCUCCUUCCUCGGAGACCCUCCGUUGAGAAGCAGCAAAUGGCUUUCAUCUUUGAAGUCAAAAUGGAUGUUUUCAGGCCCACUGAAAAGGAUAGUCAGAGGCUUUACCCAUGAGAAAACACAGUAAGACCAAAUCAGCCCAAGGCAAUGAAAAGGUCUGCAAUACCAGUGGCCAAAAAUAGUGGUAGGAAUUCUCAAAAUAAAGAAGACAGGGAAUGUCA